GGACGCAACGCUGGCGGCGUGMUUACACAUGCAAGUCGAACGAUGAACCACYWCGGUGGGGAUUAGUGGCGAACGGGUGAGUAACACGUGGGCAAUCUGCCCUGCACUCUGGGACAAGCCCUGGAAACGGGGUCUAAUACCGGAUACUGRCCCGCUUGGGCAUCCAAGCGGUUCGAAAGCUCCGGSGGUGCAGGAUGAGCCCGCGGCCUAUCAGCUUGKUGGUGAGGUAAUGGCUCACCAAGGCGACGACGGGUAGCCGGCCUGAGAGGGCGACCGGCCACACUGGGACUGARACACGGCCCAGACUCCUACGGGAGGSAGCAGUGGGGAAUAUUGCACAAUGGGCGAAAGCCUGAUGCAGCGACSCCGCGUGAGGGAUGACGGCCUUCGGGUUGUAAACCUCUUUCAGCAGGGAAGAAGCGAAAGUGACGGUACCUGCAGAAGAAGCGCCGGCUAACUACGUGCCAGCAGCCGCGGUAAUACGUAGGGCGCGAGCGUUGUCCGGAAUUAUUGGGCGUAAAGAGCUCGUAGGCGGCUUGUCACGUCGGUUGUGAAAGCCCGGGGCUUAACCCCGGGUCUGCAGUCGAUACGGGCAGGCUAGAGUUCGGUAGGGGAGAUCGGAAUUCCUGGUGUAGCGGUGAAAUGCGCAGAUAUCAGGAGGAACACCGGUGGCGAAGGCGGAUCUCUGGGCCGAUACUGACGCUGAGGAGCGAAAGCGUGGGGAGCGAACAGGAUUAGAUACCCUGGUAGUCCACGCCGUAACGGUGGGCACUAGGUGUGGGCGACAUUCCACGUCGUCCGUGCCGCAGCUAACGCAUUAAGUGCCCCGCCUGGGGAGUACGGCSCAAGGCUAAACUCAAAGGAAUUGACGGGGCCCGCACAGCGGCGGAGCAUGUGGCUAUCGACGCACGCGAGACUACAGCUGGACAUACACCGAACGUCAGAGAUGCGCCCCCUUGUGUCGUGUACAGUGGUGCAUGGCUGCGUCAGCUCGGUCUGAAUGUAGGUAAGUCCGCACRGSCAGCUGCCAGUGCAGCAGCUUCUGGCUGUAYCGGUAGCCUGGUCACUCCGUACAAGUGUGGUAC
rnacentral:rRNA from 1 species